CCUACGGGGGGCAGCAGUGAGGAAUAUUGGUCAAUGGACGCAAGUCUGAACCAGCCAUGCCGCGUGCAGGAAGACGGCUCUAUGAGUUGUAAACUGCUUUUGUACGAGGGUAAACGCAGAUACGCGUAUCUGUCUGAAAGGAACGUACGAAUAAGGAUCGGCUAACUCCGUGCCAGCAGCCGCGGUAAGACGGAGGCUUCAUGCGUUCUCCGGCUUUAUUGGGUUUAAAGGGUGCGUAGGCGGUCGGAUAAGGUAGAGGGGAAAUCCCGCGGCUCAACUUCGGAAUUGCCUCUGAUCCUGUUCGGCUUGAGAGUAGUUGCUGUAGGCGGCAUGUCUGGUGUAGCGGU
rnacentral:rRNA from 1 species